rnacentral:lncRNA from 1 species
CCUAGAGACACCCAAUUGGGACAAAUUUUAUCUAUAAAUCUGUGUGACAUGAUAUCUGUUCAAACUAUUUAAUAGUUGCAUAGACAAACCGUUUUUAUACAGAAAAAUUAAUAUUUUUCAGUUAAUAGUUUCUUUGGUGCUUGAUAAUGUUUCUGUUUCUUUUCUUCCUCAUGUUUCUAAUUUUAACAAUAUGAUGAUUGCAAAAUUACACAUGAAAAUAAUAGACUACAUUUAUAAUUUUCCAUAAUAAUUUUUUGAAAAGUUAACAUCAGGAAAUUGUAUUUAUAUAAAGAACUUGAUAACUUUUAAGGGCAUGUUAUUUAAAACAUUUAGCAAUUGAACACAAAAUAAUAACUUCUAUUUAUAAAGAUACUCAGCUGAAUCUGUUUUUAGGUUGACUGUCUUAUGUUGAAUGUUUUCCUCUACAACAUGUAUGUGCCGCUUAUUAUUGCAGAUUUGCUCAUGGGCAUGCUUUUUAUGUUUUAAUUUUUCUUUUCCAGCAAAACAAAUAUUGGGCCUCUAAAAAUAGAUGAAGUAUGAAGAAGUAUGGCUGUUGUGCAGAUAUUUUUAAAAUGCUUUUGACUCUGAGACUUGGCUUGGCUCAGUGAAUGAGUUUCUAGUACUUAAGUAUUUUGUAAUUAGCAGUCCUCCAAAGGCCUGGGAAAAAGAAAGUCCAGAGUCUGGCUUUACCCCACUGCCAGGAAGGCUUAUAGUAUUAUGGAUGUUUUUAAACUAUUAAAACAUUUAUACUAUUUGCUGUUAAGUGCCCUGGACAGCAGUUACUUCCCAGAGGCUGACAUUCUGGGACUGGCUUCUGCUUUAUCUGUGCAGCAUAACUG